UACGUAGGGUGCAAGCGUUGUCCGGAAUUAUUGGGCGUAAAGAGCUCGUAGGCGGUUUGUCGCGUCUGCUGUGAAAACUCGGGGCUUAACUCCGGGCCUGCAGUGGGUACGGGGCAGACUAGAGUGCGGUAGGGGGAGACUGGAAUUCCUGGUGUUAGCGGUGAAAUGCGCAGAUAUCAGGAGGAGCACCGAUGGCGAAGGCAGGUCUCUGGGCCACUACUGACGCUGAGAAGCGAAAAGCAUGGGGGAGCGAACAGG
rnacentral:rRNA from 1 species